rnacentral:rRNA from 1 species
GACGAACGCUGGCGGCGUGCCUAAUACAUGCAAGUCGAACGCUUCUUUCCUCCCGAGUGCUUGCACUCAAUUGGAAAGAGGAGUGGCGGACGGGUGAGUAACACGUGGGUAACCUACCCAUCAGAGGGGGAUAACACUUGGAAACAGGUGCUAAUACCGCAUAACAGUUUAUGCCGCAUGGCAUAAGAGUGAAAGGCGCUUUCGGGUGUCGCUGAUGGAUGGACCCGCGGUGCAUUAGCUAGUUGGUGAGGUAACGGCUCACCAAGGCCACGAUGCAUAGCCGACCUGAGAGGGUGAUCGGCCACACUGGGACUGAGACACGGCCCAGACUCCUACGGGAGGCAGCAGUAGGGAAUCUUCGGCAUUGGACGAAAGUCUGACCGAGCAACGCCGCGUGAGUGAAGAAGGUUUUCGGAUCGUAAAACUCUGUUGUUAGAGAAGAACAAGGACGUUAGUAACUGAACGUCCCCUGACGGUAUCUAACCAGAAAGCCACGGCUAACUACGUG